rnacentral:rRNA from 1 species
GCUCAGUAACACGUGGACAACGUGCCCUACAGUGGGGGAUAAUCUCGGGAAAUUGAGGAUAAUACCCCAUAGGCCAUGGAAUCUGGAAUGAUCCAUGGCUGAAAGUUCCGGCGCUGUAGGAUCGGUCUGCGGCCUAUUAGGUAGUAGUGGGUGUAACGUACCCCCUAGCCAUUGACGGGUAUGGGCCUUGAGAGAGGGAGCCCAGAGUUGGAUUCUGAGACACGAAUCCAGGCCCUACGGGGCGCAGCAGUCGCGAAAACUUCACAAUGGGCGAAAGCCCGAUGAGGGAAUUCCAAGUGCAUGCACAUUAGUGUAUGCUUUUGUUCAGCAUAGUAUCACUGGACGAAUAAGGGCUGGGUAAGACGGGUGCCAGCCGCCGCGGUAAUACCCGCAGCCCGAGUGGUGGUCGAUUUUAUUGAGUCUAAAACGUUCGUAGCCGGUCUAGUAAAUCUCUGGGUAAAUCGGAAGGCUUAACUUUCCGAAUUCCGGAGAGACUGCUAGACUUGGGAUCGGGAGAGGUAAGAGGUACUUCAGGGGUAGGGGUAAAAUCCUGUAAUCCUUGGAGGACCACCGGUGGCGAAGGCGUCUUACUAGAACGAAUCCGACGGUGAGGGACGAAGCCCUAGGUCGCAAACGGGAUUAGAUACCCCGGUAGUCUAGGGUGUAAACGCUGCAGACUUGGUGUUGGGGACCUCUAGUGGGUAUUCAGUGCCGGAGAGAAGUUGUUAAGUCUGCUACUUGGGGAGUACGUCCGCAAGGAUGAAACUUAAAGGAAUUGGCGGGGGAGCAC